GACGAACGCUGGCGGCGUGCCUAAUACAUGCAAGUAGAACGCUGAAGGAGGAGCUUGCUUCUCUGGAUGAGUUGCGAACGGGUGAGUAACGCGUAGGUAACCUGCCUGGUAGCGGGGGAUAACUAUUGGAAACGAUAGCUAAUACCGCAUAAGAGUAGAUGUUGCAUGACAUUUGCUUAAAAGGUGCAAUUGCAUCACUACCAGAUGGACCUGCGUUGUAUUAGCUAGUUGGUGGGGUAACGGCUCACCAAGGCGACGAUACAUAGCCGACCUGAGAGGGUGAUCGGCCACACUGGGACUGAGACACGGCCCAGACUCCUACGGGAGGCAGCAGUAGGGAAUCUUCGGCAAUGGACGGAAGUCUGACCGAGCAACGCCGCGUGAGUGAAGAAGGUUUUCGGAUCGUAAAGCUCUGUUGUAAGAGAAGAACGAGUGUGAGAGUGGAAAGUUCACACUGUGACGGUAGCUUACCAGAAAGAGACGGCUAACUACGUG
rnacentral:rRNA from 1 species